rnacentral:rRNA from 1 species
GGUUACUGCUAUCGAGGUUCGACUAAGCCAUGCGAGUCGAAUGUAGCAAUACAUGGCGAACUGCUCAGUAACACGUGGACAACCUGCCCUUAGGUUGGGUAUAAACCCGGGAAACUGGGUAUAAUACCCGAUAGGUCUCGAUUGCUGGAAUGCAUCGAGAUUUAAAGCUCCGGCGCCUAAGGAUGGGUCUGCGGCCUAUCAGGUAGUAGUGGGUGUAGCGUACCUACUAGCCUACGACGGGUACGGGUUGUGAGAGCAAGAGCCCGGAGAUGGAUUCUGAGACACGAAUCCAGGCCCUACGGGGUGCAGCAGGCGCGAAAACUUUACAAUGCUGGCAACAGCGAUAAGGGAACCUCGAGUGCCAGGUUACAAAUCUGGCUGUCGAGAUGCCUAAAAAGCAUUUCAUAGCAAGGGCCGGGCAAGACCGGUGCCAGCCGCCGCGGUAACACCGGCGGCUCGAGUGGUAACCGUUAUUAUUGGGUCUAAAGGGUCUGUAGCCGGCCGGAUAAGUCUCUUGAGAAAUCUGGCGGCUUAACUGUCAGGCUUUCAGGAGAUACUGUCUGGCUCGAGGCCGGGAGAGGUGAGAGGUACUUCAGGGGUAGGGGUGAAAUCUUGUAAUCCUUGAAGGACCACCAGUGGCGAAAGGCGUCUCACCAGAACGGACCUGACGGCAAGGGACGAAAGCUAG